UACGUAGGGUGCGAGCGUUAAUCGGAAUCACUGGGCGUAAAGGGUGCGUAGGCGGGACUUUAAGUCAGGGGUGAAAUCCUGGAGCUCAACUCCAGAACUGCCUUUGAUACUGAAGAUCUUGAGUUCGGGAGAGGUGAGUGGAACUGCGAGUGUAGAGGUGAAAUUCGUGGAUAUUCGCAAGAACACCAGUGGCGAAGGCGGCUCACUGGCCCGAUACUGACGCUGAGGCACGAAAGCGUGGGGAGCAAACAGG
rnacentral:rRNA from 1 species